rnacentral:rRNA from 1 species
AGAGUUUGAUCCUGGCUCAGGACGAACGCUGGCGGCGUGCUUAACACAUGCAAGUGGAGCGACGAAGCGGGCUUCGGCCCGUGGCAGAGCCGCGAACGGGUGAGUAACACGUGGGUAACCCACCCCGAUGACCGGGACAACCCGAGGAAACUCGGGCUAAUACCGGAUGUUCUGGACCUUCGUAAGGGAGUCCAGCAAAGAUAGCUUCGGCCUUCGCAUCGGGACGGGCCCGCGGCCCAUUAGCUUGUUGGUGAGGUAACGGCUCACCAAGGCGACGAUGGGUAGCUGGUCUGAGAGGACGAUCAGCCACACUGGGACUGAGACACGGCCCAGACUCCUACGGGAGGCAGCAGUGGGGAAUCUUGCGCAAUGCGCGAAAGCGUGACGCAGCAACGCCGCGUGGGGGAAGAAGGCCUUCGGGUUGUAAACCCCUUUCAGUUGGGACGAAGCUUCCAGGGUUAAUAGCUCUGUGGAGUGACGGUACCUUCAGAAGAAGCCCCGGCUAACUACGUGCCAGCAGCCGCGGUAAU